rnacentral:sRNA from 1 species
AAAAUUGUAACUUGGUCAAAUGAAUGUUAAUUCUUAAUUAAUUCUGUUUUAUGUUUUUACUACUGCCAAUCACAGCCAAGUGAUCUAAGGAAACAUCGGAGAAAGAUUGCAGUUGUGGAAGAAGAUGGUCGAGAGGACAAAGCAACAAUUAAAUGUGAAACUUCUCCUCCUCCUACCCCUAGAGCCCUCAGAAUGACUCACACUCUCCCUUCUUCCUACCACAAUGAUGCUCGAAGUAGUUUAUCUGUCUCUCUUGAGCCAGAAAGCCUUGGGCUUGGUAGUGCCAACAGCAGCCAAGACUCUCUUCACAAAGCCCCCAAGAAGAAAGGAAUAAAGUCUUCAAUAGGACGUUUGUUUGGUAAAAAAGAAAAAGCUCGACUUGG